GACGAACGCUGGCGGCGCGCCUAACACAUGCAAGUCGAACGAUCGAGAGAGAGCUUGCUUUCUUGAGCGAGUGGCGAACGGGUGAUUAACGCGUGAGGAACCUGCCUCAAAGAGGGGGACAACAGUUGGAAACGACUGCUAAUACCGCAUAAGCCCACGGUGCCUCAUGGCACAGAGGGAAAAGUAGCAAUCCGCUUUGAGAUGGCCUCGCGUCCGAUUAGCUAGUUGGUGAGGUAACGGCCCACCAAGGCGACGAUCGGUAGCCGGACUGAGAGGUUGAACGGCCACAUUGGGACUGAGACACGGCCCAGACUCCUACGGGAGGCAGCAGUGGGGAAUAUUGCACAAUGGGGGAAACCCUGAUGCAGCGACGCCGCGUGGAGGAAGAAGGUCUUCGGAUUGUAAACUCCUGUUGUUGGGGAAGAUAAUGACGGUACCAAACAAGGAAGUGACGGCUAACUACGUG
rnacentral:rRNA from 1 species